AAAGGAUCAAUAUAUUCAGUAGUAGAGUUUGAAAAAAGAAAUUUCUAAGACUUUCCUUUUUGAUAGGUAAUACAAAUAUUAUCAAGAAAAUUGUUAUUCAAAAUAAUUUGACAUUUAUCUUAAACCAAUUUAACAACACAGGUGGAAGGAUGACCAAGUCGACGGUGCCAUAGUGCAAAAACGUCACAACUGGCGGAGCUAGUCUGAAACCCAAUGUUAUGAACAAAAGGAAAAACACCACUUUGAACAGGAGUAAUCAGUGAUAAAUGUAGAGCCCAUCACGAGUGUGACCCUGCAACAAAAUUUCACGAGUCUAGAUGUCCUUAUAACACAAUGAAACAGGUGAAAUUUAAAGAAGACAUUAUUUUCUUUAGCAAACUGGGAAACAAAUAACAAAUUCUUCCUGAUAUUCGGCACACACAAAAUAUUAAACAGAUGGAGCACUUUAUUUUUCGUAGGCAAGGUAGAAUGUCCAACAGACAUAAUUUUUGCAAAGGUCUCAUCACUCAUUAAAAGAUAAGAUGUACCUGAGUAUGGCGUAGACUCAUUCAAAGUAGAGGCCUUUUUCUAGACAUGAUGUGUAACUCCUGAAUUAGGAUACCAUGAUGAAGUCCCUACAAGUAUAGGAAUAUAAGAAUCAAUAUUAUCAAAAUUGGACCCAUAUUGGGUCGUAUUCACAAUAGACCUAGUGGUGUUUGAGAAAUCUAACGCUGGUACAUCUGGAACCCGUGGCAACCCAACACACAGUGAGGAAUCAAAAACAAAAUUCGAAUCUAAAGCCCUAACUCCAAAAGGUGGCCCAAGAAGAACAUGUUCUUUAGGCUUUGUUAACCACGGAACACUCGAUCCACCAUUCGACCCACCAUUGUGCUCGCUUGGCCCACCAUUCAGCCCAUGAAUACCCACAUCGUUGACACCUAGGCGCUCAACACCGUGUCUAUGACCAGGUGGACCCCCAAACUAACAAAAUUAGCACCCGACCCAAGGCGUUGGCUAGCAUUAUGCGGCCUAAAGAAAUGGCUUACACCAUUCGGCCUAGAAAGACUAGCAUGUAGCCUAAAAUUCUGGCCUGCAACAAAUGGCCCGGUGAGGCCCAUGCCAUGUGACCCAUUUGCCAAACCAUCAAAAGGGUUAUGUGAAACCCUAAAAUCUACCACAUUUGUUACUGCCGCAUCUUGUAGAAGAAACUCCCACCAUCAGCCAUGGCUGAAACCAGGUGGAGCCGCUGUCGCAAAAAGGCCGAAUGAGCCUAGAACCUUCGGAGGGAAAGAGCAACCACCAUAGGCAGCACCUUUGCGUCGAUUCACAGCACCCGAACCAAAACCAUCGCACGACCCCCUUACAUCACUGUCAAUCGAAGCCUAUGCAUUUAAAGCCUGAGCUAUUGUCGUAGAGGGGUUGUCAUAGUCCCGAUUGAACCGAUAAUAACACCGCUGCGCCAAGCGCCCAAAUUUACCACAGAAUUGGCACAGGAUCUGAGAGUGAAAACCCCUUCCAUUGCCACCAGUAAAUGAGUGACCACCACGCGCGGGUUCCACCGCUAUCGGCGUCGGAGCAGCCUCCAUCAGAUUUGCAUGAAACGGCACGUCCUGCGCCACACGAGUCUGUCGAAUCUUAUAUUCCAAUAGAACAUCCACAAGUCGUUGCAUGGGAAGUAGCUCGAACGAGAACGAGGCUAGAGUGAGAACAACGUCGUGCUCCGAUGGCAGGCCCACAAGAACAAUUUUCACCUUCUCAGCCUCCGAGAUUCGAGAUCUAGAUGCUUCGAUCAAGGCACAAGUAUUUUGAAUCUUAGCCACAUAUUCUUUCAUUAUCAUAUUACCUUUUUUAAUCGAAUGCAAAUCAUGUUUAAUGCGAGAUAACUUUGCUCCGGUUACAGCGGCGAACAAUCGGUUUGCUGUACUCUAUACAUCACAUGAUGAUUUUUCAUCUGUAAAACACGAAAGAAGAGUACCACUAAUUGUGGACAACAACCAGGAUGCAAGCAACUUAUCUUGCUGAUGGAACAACGAAGCCUCUAGAUUAGGAACCAGAGGACCCUCCAAAGAUGGAAUAAACCGUGGUGGAGCAGGUAAGGUACCUUCAAUAAAUCUUGUUAAGUCAUAGCCUUCAACAAUAUUCAACUUUAUGUGUUGUUACCACUGUACAAAGUUAGUUUCAUCUAAUUUGACAGUAUCAUGUCGAGGGAAGCAUUGAAUUAAUCGAGAAUUUGACAGUAUAUUGGAUGAAUUACCAUUGUUUACAGAAACGGACUCGGUUGAGUUAGCCAUGAACGCGCAGCACGAGCAAGUCUCCAAGACUUAGGCGAAAGAUACCAUGUAAGUGUAUCCAACAAUUCAAUAGGAAAUGAAAUGAUUGAAAAUGAACUGAGAAAUUGAGUUAUUAUUAUUGCUCUCCUAAUACAGUAAAUAAAGUAUAUUUAUACAAUCUUCAAAGGGAUAACUGCUACUAACAACUUAUGAAUAGUACUCUAACAAAAUACUAACAGUCGAACAGCCUAACAGACUCUUCACUAAUUACUAAUGAUGAUAUACUAACAUAUUAAAACAAAUGAUAGUGAGACACUAUUGGAACUAGAAAGGAUAUAUGCCAACCCUGAAAUGUUUUGAGUUCUGCAGUAAAAUACACUGUUUGGAAAAGCUUGGGGCCUUCCAUUGUAGUUUGGGCUUAUACGGCUUAUGCCCUUAACAUGAGAAUUCUCAUGAUAAUUCAAAACUUGGAACUAGCUUCUUUUCAGCCACAGUUGUGUUGAAUCAUUGAUGCAGGUUGUGUCUUUAACUUUCCAGUCGGUACUCUUUCCACAUGGUGGAGCAGGGAAAUUCAUAAUCAUAAUAGCUCAGUUGGUUCGUUGGAAUUCAUAGGAAUUUCCUCAAACGUAUUUAUUGUCAUCUCCCAAUCUCCUUGCGAUUAGAUUUACUGGCCGGAUUUCCAUUAUCGUGUUUUACAAGUUCCUAACAGUUCCAAUCUAAUGCUUGGUCCUACAACUUAACUACAGAAAAGGGGUAUCCCGCAUAUUAUCAUUGUCAAAUAUGAAAGAUCAUGUUCGCUUGGACCACGAGUUUCUUUAGCUUUCACGUCAAUGGCAGCCUGGAAUUUUUUAAAAAAAAAACCUCUUAGAAUUUUUUUUCUAUCUGAGAGUAAUGUUACUUAUGUGAUCAUGAAUACCCAUUGACUUAGUUUUUUUCUGUUCCUUUUUACCAGAAAAGCUAUAGGGAAAAGCAUAAAAUUAAGCUACCUUGAGGCUAAAAUCAAGCUUACACUUAAAUUUAUUAAAUUGUAGUUUUAUAAUAAUUAAAAUUUCAAAACAAUAAAUUUUAUGUUUAGUUGGACACAGUUGUUGCAAAUAUAUAACUUUUACAUGUGAAAUAAUCUUGUAAAUAUAUAAUAAUAAAAUUCUCUUUUUUGAAAAGUAAAUCUU
rnacentral:lncRNA from 1 species